GAACGCUCUACCCUCUCCAUACUGGGUAUGUUGUUGUUGUUGAAAAGUGAAAAGGGUGAAUCUUGAUACUCAAAACUAGCUCUUUUUUGCUUCAAAGUAUUGUUGUUUCACAAACAAAAAUAGCUGGCUUUCUCAUGAAAUUUGUGAGGGGGUAAACUUAAUUUUUUGCUAAUUUGAAAAUUUCUGAUUGUUGAAGUUUGAGACUUUUUUGCUUUCUUAAGGAUUAUGUUUUUAACCUUUUUGCAUUUGCUGAAAUUUUAUGGCUUAAUAUGCUUGUCUUGUUUGCUAAUUUCAUUUUUCAGAGCUAAAGUAGCUAAUAAUAUUAUGAAAAGUUGUUGUAUAUAGUUUUCUUUGAACCCGUUUUGAAAUUUUCUGAUUCUUUGUUAAAGAUCGAAAUUUUUUAGUUUAUUUGGGAUUCUGUUUUGACACUCUAUUGCAUUUGAUCAAAUCCUUUGUCUCACUCGGUCGUCAUAUGUUUUAAUUUUAUAGGGGACAAACUUCACAUAAAAGAAAGGUUGGGGGACCAAUUCUGUUUUAAUUUUAAUUGGGCACGCACAGCAUACCAUCAGUGAAUGGUGAAGCCCUAAUUGAGGCAUUUAUCACUAAAACUGAUAAAGCUAAAAGGGAUAAAAAAUUUAAGUUUCAAAAGCAUAUUAGAGAAACCCCAUUUGGUUAAAAUUCAAGAAUUUGCAGCUUAAAAGCUAGGAAAAGGGAAGAAGAAUACAAAGAAGAGAAAGAGGAAAAUUCAGAUGUUCCACCAGAUGAGGAUCAAUGUCAUGAAGCACUUACUUCAUAAAUACAUGAAGAAUUUUCCACAGAAGUCUGCUCAUUUCCAUGAAGUUGAAAUUCAUGACAUAACUUCUAUAUAUACCCACAAUAAGCAAUGCGCGGCCAAUCCCACGAGUUCCUUUUUCAGAUAACCUCACUUGAUUUUUUGGCAAAAUUUCAGCUUGAUUUUGAAUGUGUGCAUAUGUGAAGGUAAGUCUUUAACUUCGUGUUUUCUCCUGGACAACCUAAUGCAAUUAUAACCUCUUUACUGUUUGUUAUCAACUUUGGUCGUUUGCUACCUUUCGGCUUUAACUUUUCUCAACUUUCGAGAUUUCAGUUGACUCGAAUUUAAAAGAAAGGUUUAAACGAUAAAUCUAUAUGUACAUAUAUAAAGCUGGGAAUAAAAAGGAGAUGUGACGCUUUCCUGUGCCCAGCAAUGCAUCUAUAUCUUUUCUCCCUUUUUGGACAAUUUUUCACUUUUCCCCUUUUUUGGCCUAUUUCCUUCAUUUAUUAUUUAUGUGUGUUUCAUAGGAAAAACUCAACAAUCGCUUUUAAUAUUUACAACCAACAGCGGCUUCCUUAUUUACAUUCUUGUUACCUUGUUACCUCAACUUAAAAGAGAUCAAUAGUUCUACACUUUGCAACAUGAUUCGGAGCCAACAAUAGAAGUUAAUGUUUCAGCACAAAUGCAACAUUCUUCAGAUUCAAUGUAAACCAAUAUAAGGGUAGGAUUUCCAAGAGAAUAAAUUCUUCAACCGUGAAAGCAAGCAAGUUAAGUAUAGAAAUGUGAUACAUGUGUAAAUUGAUGACUUCAGGGCAAGCUUCAUCACAUUAAUUUUACAGCAAAACUUUUCAAAAAAAAAAAAAAGGAACCCAGAUGAUCAAAUUCUGGAUUUCAUCACCUUUCACUUUUCUAAGUGCAAAGAUUGAAACUCUGAGAACCAAAACGAAACGAAACAAAACAAAAGAAGAAAAAAACGAAAACCCAGAUGAACAAAUUCUUCGAUCUUCAAAAAAAAUUAGAGUUAUAAAGUGCAAAAGUUGAAAUUUUGAGGGAAAAAGGUAAUGGAUACCUUUGGGUUAUUGUUGCCAAGAAGAUGAAGAGAUUGCAGUUGGAAGAAAUGAAAGCCAACCCAUUUCUGAAGGGACCAAGUGCUGGGAUGCUGUAACCGUACAGUUCUGCGUAUUUGCUUUUUUUUUUUUUUUUUUUUUUUUUUUGUAUUUUAAUUGAAAUUUUCUGGUACUACACUUGUCACUCUACUGUGAUUGGUUUUGCCUAUCCUAUUAUAUAUACGUAGAUAGAUAUUCCGAGUACAUCUAUCGGAAUAUUAAUAAUAUUUUUCAUUAACUUUUUAAAGGUGUUCCGACUACAGUUGUCGGGAUGUUUGGUCAAAAUUAUGUUGACUAUUUUUAUAUGACUUGUCCGACUAUCGUAGUCGGAAUAUUUUAUUCCCGAAAUUUCCUGCCAAACAUUACAUUGCAGUGGUCAGAAGUGGUGUUGGAUAAAUAUAUUUUUUUUUUAAAAAUAAAACAUAAAAAUUGAAUUCCCCGUCUAUAGUAGUUGAAAAAUUGCGACUGAUUUUUUGUAAUCAGAAUUGGUAGUCCGAAAAAGACAAUUUUCUGUUAGUGUGUAAUCUAUAUAUAUAAUAUAAAGGUAGGCAAAAAAAAAAAAGAUGUGCAUCUCUCUUUGGCCAUGGAUCCCAUUUAUUUUUUUUUCUCCUUUUUUGACGUUUCUCUCUUAUUUUUUUAUUUAUCUUAUUUGAAAAAAUCUCACCUCUAUAACUCACACCUCUUCACCUUCUACUCUUAAUAACACAUAACAACCAUAACUACCAUGCUUUUCAUUCCCAUAACCCCAAAUAUUUAAUGUUAAAUUAAUGACAUUUUAUGAUGUUUCAACAUGUAUUCUUCUGUAAGUUAUUUUUUUAAUUUAAAUUGUCUAUGAUUGGUUACCAUUUCCUAAUUGUAAACUUUUCCUUUCAAAUGUUAGUUUCUCAUAGCAUAUUUCACUACGGUGAUUUACAUGAAAAUGGGUAUGUAAUGAAAGCGAAAAGUAGAUUUUAGGUGUUUUCCAAAGUUGUAUUUGAAAUUUUCAUGGUUAAACGUUGAUUUUCAAAUAAAGUGAAAAAUUUCCGAAAAUAAUUCUCAUGGCCAAACGGGUCCGAUUCGUAAAAUAUUUAUCGAACUCUAUCCGUAAGAUUUGAUGGAAACAGGGGUAAAAAUAAAUUUAACUAUAAAUAUCAAGAAAGUCUCAUCAAAUCCUAAAAUUUACAAAAUAAAAAACUACACUAGACACUAAGUAGAUACUAAUUAACCGAAAUUGAUGCAUUAGACCUAGAAUAUAAAUUAAAAAUAACAAAAACUACAAAUUGCAUUUCUAAAUUUGUGUGUUACCUGCUAAUUUCAUUUUUUUCAUCGUUUACGUCAAAUCUAACACUCGGAGUGCGGUAAAUAUAUAAAAGAAACUAAAAGUGCUAACUUUUGACAAAUAAAAAAGACAAACACUGUAAAGUGCACAAUUAACGGACUAUUUUUAACCUACCCUCCAACAUAAGAGACCAAUUUUUCAUUUUAUCAAACAAACACCAUACAUACUUGACCCUUUUUGGGCUACAUGUCAACGUUAACCCGAGUGAACCCAAAAAGAGAAGGGAUUUUUUUUUAUAAAAAAGAAAUUCAAAAGAGAAACCCCAUUUGGUUAAAAUUCAAGAAUUAAAGGUAACUUACAAAUGAGCCAACUGUAUAUCUUUUUUUUUUUUUUUUUUUUUUUGGUUCAAAGUUUAGAACUUUUUGCUUUUUUAAUGAAAUUUUAUGGCUUUAUAUGCUUGUUUUCUUUGCUUAUUUCGGGUUUCAUAGCAAAUAAUAAUAUCAUCAAGAAAAUGAGCCAUUCAUCAGUGAAAUCAGACGAGCAAAAAAAUUUUUUUUUUUUAGUUUAAAAAGCAUAUUGGAGAAACCCCAUUUAGUUAAAAUUCAAGAAUUUGCAGCUUAAAGAUAAAUUUUUUUCUUCCUUACAAAUGUGCUAACUGUUUUUCGUUUUCAAGAUUGUUUCCCUUCUCACAAACAAAGAAGAGAGGGGGGGGGGGGGGGGGGGGAGAGAGAGAGAGAGAGUUUGUUGACCUUUUUGGCUUUGUGGUCAUGUACACUAUUUUGUUUCUGCCAUUGGGGCGGAAAGAACAAAGUGCUUCCAGAUGGAUCCACUUCGUAUGUGGGAGGUAUUACCGAUCAGAUUAUUGUGAAGACAGGCAUAAAGUAGAACGAUUUUGUGAAUGCAGUUUUCGACCGAUUAGGGAUUGAUCCUUCAGAUAAAGUCUUACAGUUUACAGUGAAGUUUGAUAAGGGCCCAAUUGAUACGGCUCAGAGACCAAGAAGGUGUCAAUAUUUUGUUACAAUUUAAUGACGGUUUUGCCCACGUUUAUGCAUCAAGUUCAGAGAAGGAGCCUAAUUCUGCAGUUGCUCCGGCUACCACUAGGAUUUCAACCACUGAGGUCGAAGCAGUCUCUCUCGGAAGUGCUGAGGAUGAACAAGUGAGUGCCGAUUCCAAUUCUCGCACCUUCACACCAAUGGAUCACUGAUGGAACUCCAGAUGCUGCUGCCAACUGGAGUGAAUUACUUGUUGGGGAAGGACAAGCCUUUCGAGAACGCUGAUGCUUUUAGGAAGAACAAGUUUUUCAUUUUUAAGAUUGUUUCCCUUCUCACAAAUAAAAAAGAAAGAAAGAAAGAGAGAGUUUGUUGCCUUUUUUGGCUUUGUGGUCAUGUACUUGUUCACGAUGGGAACUGAAGAUAACACAUGUCUUUAU